CCAUAGCAAACUCCGAAUACCGAAGAGUGCAAUCACGGGAGACAGACAUCGGGUGCUAACGUCCGGUGUCAAGAGGGAAACAACCCAGACCGCCAGCUAAGGUCCCCAAAUAUUGCUAAGUGGGAAACGAAGUGGGAAGGCUAAAACAGUCAGGAGGUUGGCUUAGAAGCAGCCAUCCUUUAAAGAAAGCGUAAUAGCUCACUGAUCGAGUCGUCCUGCGCGGAAGAUGUAACGGGGCUAAGCAAUAUACCGAAGCUGCGGAUGCACAUUUAUGUGCAUGGUAGGAGAGCGUUCCGUAAGCCUGCGAAGGUGCAUUGAAAAGUGUGCUGGAGGUAUCGGAAGUGCGAAUGCUGACAUGAGUAGCGAUAAAGGGGGUGAAAAGCCCCCUCGCCGUAAGCCCAAGGUUUCCUACGCAACGUUCAUCGGCGUAGGGUGAGUCGGCCCCUAAGGCGAGGCAGAAAUGCGUAGCUGAUGGGAAGC
rnacentral:rRNA from 1 species